GCGAAAGUGGCGAAAUUGGCAGACGCACCAGACUUAGGAUCUGGCGGAGCAAUCCGUGGGGGUUCAAGUCCCCCCUUUCGCACCA
rnacentral:tRNA from 9 species